rnacentral:rRNA from 1 species
AGUGAACGCUGGCGGUAGGCCUAACACAUGCAAGUCGAACGGCAGCACAGUAAGAGCUUGCUCUUACGGGUGGCGAGUGGCGGACGGGUGAGGAAUACAUCGGAAUCUACUUUUUCGUGGGGGAUAACGUAGGGAAACUUACGCUAAUACCGCAUACGACCUACGGGUGAAAGCAGGGGAUCUUCGGACCUUGCGCGAUUGAAUGAGCCGAUGUCGGAUUAGCUAGUUGGCGGGGUAAAGGCCCACCAAGGCGACGAUCCGUAGCUGGUCUGAGAGGAUGAUCAGCCACACUGGAACUGAGCCACGGUCCAGACUCCUCCGGGGGGCAGCAGUGGGGAAUAUUGGACAAUGGGCGCAAGCCUGAUCCAGCCAUACCGCGUGGGUGAAGAAGGCCUUCGGGUUGUAAAGCCCUUUUGUUGGGAAAGAAAAGCAGCAGGUUAAUACCCCGCUGUUCUGACGGUACCCAAAGAAUAAGCACCGGCUAACUUCGUG